CUACGGGGUGCUGCAGUGAGGAAUUUUGCGCAAUGGGGGAAACCCUGACGCAGCAACGCCGCGUGAGUGAAGAAGGCCCUUGGGUCGUAAAGCUCCGUCAAUGGGGAAGAAGUUACUUGGUAUUAAUAGUGCCUUGUAUUGACGGUACCCAUGAAGGAAGCACCGGCUAACUCCGUGCCAGCAGCGCGCGGUAAUACGGGGGGUGCAAGCGUUAUUCGGAAUUAUUGGGCGUAAAGGGCACGCAGGCGGUCCUGUCAGUCAGAUGUGAAAGCCCGGGGCUCAACCCCGGACGUGCAUUUGAAACAGCAGGACUUGAGUACGGGAGAGGAAAGGGGAAUUCCUGGUGUAGAGGUGAAAUUCGUAGAUAUCAGGAGGAACACCGGUGGCGAAGGCGCCUUUCUGGACCGAUACUGACGCUGAGGUGCGAAGGCGUGGGUAGCGAACGGGAUUAGAUACCCCGGUAGUC
rnacentral:rRNA from 1 species